GAUGAAGAACGUAGCGAAACGCGAUAUGUAAUGUGAAUUGCAGAAUUCAGUGAAUCAUCGAAUCUUUGGACGCACAUGGCGCCUUCCAGUAUCCUGGGAGGCAUGCCUGUCCGAGCGUCGUUUCAACCCUCGAGCCCCCGUGGCCCGGCGUUGGGGAUCUGCCCAGGCAGUCCCCGAAAACCAGUGGCGGACCCGUUACAGGCCCUUCCCUUGCGUAGUAGCAUUCGCCUCGCAUCGGGAGCCGGCGGGCUUCCAGCCUCUAAACCCCCAUCAAGUCCGCCCCGGCGGCACCAAGGUUGACCUCGGAUCAGGUAGGAAUACCCGCUGAACUUAAGCAUAUCAAUAAGCGGAGGA
rnacentral:misc_RNA from 1 species